GGCUUUGUGGUCUAGUGGUAUGAUUCUCGCUUCGGGUGCGAGAGGUCCGGAGUUCGAUUCCCCGCGGAGCCC
rfam:Blastocystis sp. NandII AV274scaffold_32, whole genome shotgun sequence.